CCUACGGGGGGCAGCAGUGAGGAAUAUUGGGCAAUGGAGGCAACUCUGACCCAGCCAUGCCGCGUGAGUGAAGAAGUAUUUCGGUAUGUAAAGCUCUAUCAGCAGGGAAGAAGAUGACGGUACCUGACUAAGAAGCCCCGGCUAACUACGUGCCAGCAGCCGCGGUAAUACGUAGGGGGCAAGCGUUAUCCGGAUUUACUGGGUGUAAAGGGAGCGUAGACGGCAGGGCAAGUCUGGAGUGAAAGCCCGGGGCCCAACCCCGGGACUGCUUUGGAAACUGCCAUGCUAGAGUGCUGGAGAGGUAAGCGGAAUUCCUAGUGUAGCGGUGAAAUGCGUAGAUAUUAGGAGGAACACCAGUGGCGAAGGCGGCUUACUGGACAGUAACUGACGUUGAGGCUCGAAAGCGUGGGGAGCAAACAGGAUUAGAUACCCUUGUAGUC
rnacentral:rRNA from 1 species